AUUGAACGCUGGCGGCAGGCUUAACACAUGCAAGUCGAGCGGGGGAAGGUAGCUUGCUACCGGACCUAGCGGCGGACGGGUGAGUAAUGCUUAGGAAUCUGCCUAUUAGUGGGGGACAACAUCUCGUAAGGGAUGCUAAUACCGCAUACGUCCUACGGGAGAAAGCAGGGGAUCUUCGGACCUUGCGCUAAUAGAUGAGCCUAGGUGGGAUUAGACAGUUGGUGGGGUAAAGGCCUACCAAGGCGACGAUCUGUAGCGGGUCUGAGAGGAUGCACCGCCGCACUGGGACUGAGACACGGCCCAGAUUCCUACGGGAGGCAGCAGUGGGGAAUAUUGGACAAGGGGGGGAAACCUGAUCUAGCCAUGCCGCGUGUGUGAAGAAGGCCUUAUGGUUGUAAAGCACUUGAAGCGAGGGGGAGGCUACUUUAGUUAAUACCUAGAGAUAGUGGACGUUACUCGCAGAAUAAGCACCGGCUAACUCUGUGCCAGCCGCCGCCGUAA
rnacentral:rRNA from 1 species